rnacentral:rRNA from 1 species
UACGUAGGGGGCUAGCGUUGUCCGGAAUCAUUGGGCGUAAAGCGCGUGUAGGCGGUCCGGUAAGUCCGCUGUGAAAGUCGGGGGCUCAACCCUCGAAUGCCGGUGGAUACUGUCGGGCUAGAGUGCGGAAGAGGCGAGUGGAAUUCCUGGUGUAGCGGUGAAAUGCGCAGAGAUGUGGAGGAACACCGAUGGCGAAGGCAGCCUUCUGGGCCAACACUGACGCUCAUGCACGAAAGCGUGGGGAGCAAACAGG